rnacentral:tRNA from 1 species
ACAUUGAUGGUUCAGUGGUAGAAUUCUCACCUUCCAUGUGGGAGACUCAGGUUGAAUUCUUGGCCAAGGCU